rnacentral:lncRNA from 1 species
ACUGCUUUGCAAAGCCAUUGCCAAUGGGUUUCACCCUACCACACUCACAAGGUUAGUCUGUUCCGGGUCUUAAGGCAUACUGGAAGCCCCCAAGACUAAGACCUCCUGUUACUCUUCACCACAUGGUUCAAUCCUCUCUACUUGAGAAUGAAAGACCAUUGAAGUUCAGGAUCACCCCAAGACUGAGCUACCUGCAAUCAUUCUAAACAUACUUGAAUCUCACCAAGAGAUUCCACAUUUAAACUUACUUAUACCACUUG